GAUGAACGCUGGCGGCGUGCCUAAUACAUGCAAGUCGAGCGAACAGACGAGGAGCUUGCUCCUCUGACGUUAGCGGCGGACGGGUGAGUAACACGUGGAUAACCUACCUAUAAGACUGGGAUAACUUCGGGAAACCGGAGCUAAUACCGGAUAAUAUCUUGCACCGCAUGGUUCAAUAGUGAAAGACGGUUUUGCUGUCACUUAUAGAUGGAUCCCGGCCGCAUUAGCUAGUUGGUAAGGUAACGGCUUACCAAGGCAACUAUGCGUAGCCGACGGGAUAGGGGGGUCGGCCGCACUGGAAGGGGACCAGGGUCAAGAGUCCUAAGGUAGGCAGCAGUAGGGAACGGGACGCAAAGGUGGAAAGUCUGACGGAGUAACGCCGCGUGAGUGAUGAAGGUCUUCGGAGCGUAAAACUCUGUUAUGAGUGAAGAACAAAUGUGUAAUUAACUAUGCACGUCUUGACGGUACCUAAUCAGGAAGCAACGGCUAACUACGUG
rnacentral:rRNA from 1 species